rnacentral:rRNA from 1 species
UACGAAGGGUGCAAACGUUGCUCGGAAUUAUUGGGCGUAAAGCGCACGUAGGCGGAUGUGUCAGUCAGGGGUGAAAUCCCGGAGCUCAACUUCGGAACUGCCUCUGAUACAGCACGUCUUGAGUCCGGAAGAGGUGGGUGGAAUUCCUAGUGUAGAGGUGAAAUUCGUAGAUAUUAGGAAGAACACCGGUGGCGAAGGCGGCAUCCUGGACCGGUAUUGACGCUGAGGCGCGAAAGCCAGGGGAGCAAACGGG